UACGAAGGGGGCUAGCGUUGCUCGGAAUCACUGGGCGUAAAGCGCGUGUAGGCGGCCUCCUCAGUCUGGUGUGAAAGCCCGGGGCUCACCCCCGGAAGUGCAUUGGAUACUGGGAGGCUGGAGUACCGGAGAGGAGGGUGGAAUUCCUGGUGUAGCGGUGAAAUGCGUAGAUAUCAGGAGGAACACCGGUGGCGAAGGCGGCCCUCUGGACGGAUACUGACGUGAGACGCGACAGCGUGGGGGAGCAAACAGG
rnacentral:rRNA from 1 species